GUCUGCACCCGUCCGUGUGCGGCUCCCCAACAAAGGCGCCCUUCACGAGUUCGAGGACUCCGGGGGGCGCCUUGGCCCUGCGGGACCCUUCCCUCCGCUCGCGGGCUAACAGCACCCCCCCUAGGGUUCGGGGAGCCCGCUCCAUGCCAGUGACUCGUCCCCGGCCCCCCUCCCGCGGUCUGGACCCCGCAAGCCAAGCCCCUGCCAAAGCGCGUGCUCGGCAACCCCGUCCCUGGCGGGAAGCGCAGGCGGCUUCAGGCGCCUCGGCGUGGGUCUGGUGGGCGGGCCUACUUUCCCGCCUUUUCUUCGCUGUCCUUCACCUUCAGCACCAAACUCCAGCCCCAGGGACAUCUGGGCUGGUCCCUGCUCCCUGGGCUUGCCGGGACCCCCCUGUGGCUCACGGCCAACCCGUCCUCUAGGCUGCCGCGCUGUGCGGGGUCCUUGGCAACCCGCUCCCCAGCCCCUGAUUAGUGUCUCCGCUUCUUUCACAGCAGGGGGGCAGCCCUUGCCCCACCCCAAGUUUAAGCAUCAGCGGCACAUCUGGUGUGGCCCACCAGGCGCCUGGUGUCUGUCUCCCUGGCAGGCGGGUCGCUACCCCAUCAGGUUCCCGAGGCCCUGUGUGUAUGUUGGGGACACAGAAAAGUGCAGGGAGCUUGACAGAUCAGUUCCCUUAGCACUGCGGCUCAGGGAGACUAAGGGCCGUAACAGGAUAGCUGCUUCAGGGCAGAGGGGAAAAACCGGGUUCAAGGAGCACUGGGGGUGUGGUACUGUCAAAGGGGGUGCAGGCAAACCUCAGAGGGAAGCUAGAAGAGCGAGGGAGUGUUCAUGGAAAAUCUGGAGAAGAGCCUGGCAGUCGAGGAACAGCAAAGGCCCCUGGCAUGGCCCAAGUGGCUACAGCAGGGUGACAGGACGCCGGCCGGGCUGGGAGAGGGACCUUUGGAACCUGCUGGCAUCAGGAUCCCUCUGGCUCCCACAUGUGAAGAGAGUGAGGGCGAAAGUAAGGAGCCCUCCGUAGUCCAGGAGGAGCAUGCGGGUGCCAGGGCCAGGGUGACUGCAGAGGAGGGAUGAGAAGAGCAUUCCAGGUACAUGUUGGAGAAGUUGAUGGCUGGACGCAGAGCAGGAAGGAAGGAGCUGACUCAGGCUUUGGCCUCUGUCCACCUGUUGAAUUUAAAUCUGGCCACUGGGCCUUCUGCCGCUGUCUCCACGCCGCCGGACCUUGCCAGUCCCUCUGCUCUUCCCGUCUCCGGUAGCCUUUGAGACCUUCCAGCAUCUUGCCCGCCGCCUCUCCCAGCUUUCCUGCUCCUCCCUCUGCGUGACCUGGCCUUCUCUCCCACUCACCUUUUUUUUUUAGAGUGAUUUAUUUAUGCAUACAAGAACUGGGGUACAGGCCAGAGUUGUGGGGGUGAGAGGAUUCACCAGAGACAGUGGGGAUCAGAACAGGCAGACUGACUGAAAUACGGUGCUGAGGGGAGCAGCGGGCGAGUCAGGAGGUCUGCUGCGCCAUGUGGGUAGCUCCCUGGCCAGGGAUCGAACUCCAGCUGCAGUGGCUGCAGACAGCUUCAUAGGUUGCGUCUUAACCCCUUGCACCACCAGAGAGGCCUCCCAUUCACCUUUUUAUCCUACUUUGUGCUCUGGUACCGGGGCUCAGCAGCGAGCAUGGAGGCCCACAGACACCUCUGCAUCCCUGGAUCUUUUCUAGUGGGAGAGACUUGACACUCAAACUCCUCAAUUGUGUGACUUCAAGCAACCUCCUCUAACAUCUCUGCUUGGGUCCUUUCCAUUUUAAAAUGGGCCUUCCUCAGGUCUCUGGCACCCAAAAAGGAGUGGCAGACGGGUCCUGUACCCACUGCGUGCCGCUUUGUGUGAUUCAUGUUGCUAUUUCAGUGCCGCUGCUCUCAAGUGGGGAACCAGAGGACAAGGCUGUUUGGCAUCACCUCAUUCUUAGACCAUCACUCAUGCAACCAAGGCGAGACCGGAAGAGGUCAGCGUUGGGGACCGGAUUCUUUGCAGAGCAAACGCCCAAUUUCAAAGUUCUCCCCGUAUCAGGAGAAAAACAAAAAGCAGCUGGAGUCAAGGACGCUCAGCACGGGAGUGAGUGGGCCAGGGGCGGGUGGCAGCCCAGGACGCUGGAAGUUCUGUUUUUAUGGGAACAGUCACUGUCGGCGUGGGAAUUUAGACCAUCUGAGUUUCCUUCCUCAGUUGUCCACUUCAUGGCUGACACCUCUUGCUCCUGAACUUCCACCGUGGAAGAGAUCUUGUGACUUCUGACAAAAAGCUUACAGAGAAGCGAUGGGGUGUGGCGCUGCUCCUGUGAGUCAUGCGGGCUGUAUGUGCAGUCAUUGAUCAGAAACUAAACUUCAAGUUGGCCAGAAGCAAGAGUCCAUUGACAUGGAACCAAGAAGACAAGAAAAGGGCCCGGCUGGACCGCCGACAGAAAGGAAGGGGUCUGUCCACCAGGAAGACCCAGUCAUCUGAAAGAUCUCCCCUCUCUUGGACAGAUGAACUAUGCGAUAAACUGUAGCCAAGUCUCCAUUGCUUUGCCCUCAGCUUGUAGCCUGCAAAAUAUAACUCCUCUGUUCUCAGCCCCAAUCCCCCGAGAUCAGGAUAAACUCCUUCUCUCCCCUGGGUGGGAAGGCAGAUUUGAGCUUUGGCUCCUAUCUUCUUGCCAGGCAACUCCAAAAUUAAACCCUUUGCUCUCAA